UAAAAACUUAGUUUUACAUACUAACACUGCCUUUUGUGUAUAUUUAAACAGAACAAAUGGUAAUUUAUUAUGUUCUCCAGAAACUGAUUUUGCAACAUUGCUAAACUAGCAGACUGGAGAGAUGCUCACAAUUCUCAGAUGAUAUGAGUGUUUCUCUGCAUGGGCAUCAGAGCUGCCACUGCUUGACAUUCCAAGAACUUCCCAGCUACAGGUUCAUCACCUUCUCCUCCCAGGAAAGACAUGUGAGAUUCUGCACAGAGACAGGAAUGUCGUGCCAAAGAGCCUGAAGUCAUGCCAGUGGUGGAGUGCUGAUUGGAACAGACUGGGUUUGGAUGACAUCUCUACUCAUCUGUAAUGGAAGCUGUGUCAAAAUAGGAAAAAUUUUGAAAAACUCUGGUGGCCUUUGGGUGAUGAAGUUAAUGAUAAUUGCCACCUUUUUUCAUGAAGUUUCUUGAACUUUGACAACUUUAGGAACAAUAAUACUGAUAUUGAUAAUAUGUCAUCUUGUUCUCAUGUUCUGUGAUUCUGAAGCUUAUUUACCAGGUAUAAAUCAUGUUCUCAUUCUUAUUUUCCCUCAGAAGCAAGAACUGACCACCAUGUACAUCAGCUGGAACCUUUCUGGAAUCCACACAGUGUAAUAAUCCUUAGGAAAAGCUACCUGGGAUUCAGCUGUUACAAUCAGAAGGCCACGAACACUCAACUGGAACCUUUCAUAAUCCCAGUAAAAGGAAAGAUUCAGCUCUUGUCCUGAUUGCAGACUUUGUGCUGGGGGAUGCCAGCUGCCAUAUUGUGAAGACCCUCAAGCAUCCCUGUGGAGAGGUCCCCAUGGCACAGAAAUGGACUCUCAGCCCAAAAGCCAACAAAGAACCAAGGCCUCAAGCCAGCAGCCAUGGGAAUGGGAAUGUGCCAUCUUGGAAGCCAAUCCUGCAGCCCCAGUCAAGCCUUCAGAUGACAGUAGCCCCAGCCAAUAUCUUCACUGGAUCUUACUGAGAGACUAUGUGCCAGCAUGACCCUACUAAACAACUCUCAAAUUUCUGACCCUCAGAAAUUGUGUGAGAUAAUAAUUGUUUUUUGUUUUAAUAUGCUAAGCUUUAGGUUUGUUUGUUACUCCAAAUUAGACAACUAAUUCAGAAUGCAAUAUAUACACUCAGCCAGGUCAACUCCUCUGCUUCUUGAUGCCUGGGGAGAGUGGAGAGAGUGAUGGAUCCCCAUUAUUAUUGCACCCAGGGUACACUGGUCUGGGUUUAGAAUGUCUUGUGCUUUUUCAACCUUCUGUUCCCACAUUUCUCAGUAGUAUGUAUAUUAAACUCUCUUCAGUAACCCACUUUGAGUCUGCCAUUUUUUCCUGUUAGGUUCCCACCUGAAGUGGCUGCCAUGUAACAUCUACACAAACUCCAGCAAGUGGUGGUGGUAUCACCUGUGCUGUGAAUACCUCCCAGUGCAACCAUGCCUAUCACAUUGGAUGAUGCCAUUCAGAGCUGCUAGUGUCAGCAAAGCCAGGCUCCAGUGUCACCAGGGUGGUUUGCCUGCAUCACAGGUUCUUCGCCGACAUCACCAAUGGCUGUGCUGCCCAGGCUUUGCUCUCUCCAGUGCUCCUUUGAUAUUUGCGCGCCCCCCACCUCCUCCUAGGACUCAGAAGUAAGUCAUGUGAGAUGUGCGGGAAAGGAGCCAAGAGAAGGGCAAUUAGAAUCACCCUGAAGCAAAUUUGUCUUUCCAGGAUGUCCUGCCCAGGGCUUUACUGGGGUCUCACAUGAAUAGCUCUUGGCAGUGCCCCAGUGCACUAGAAAUGCUUAUAAAUUCCUGAAUCCCAAUGUGAACAGAGUUUGGGUCAGUCUGGACCCUUGCUU
rnacentral:lncRNA from 10 species